CCUUGUCUAGUAAUGACAGUAUGAUUCCUUCCUUUUAAAAAGAAUGUUUCUCAGAAUUAAGUAUAUGUGGUAAACACUUCCACUGUUCUCUAAAUCUCAAUUAUCUGGCCAGAAAACUUCGUUUUCAAGCAUCAGUGUCUCCGUUUCCUGACAGAGCCCAGAGAAAUUCUCAACAUCUGUAAUACCUGUAAAAUCUUACAUCAGUCUGCUGAUGACAGGAGGAAAUCCAGUCUAGAAGGACAAUAUUCCACACCUGAGGUAGUAUGAAGGCAGGCUCAUGCAGUGUAAAAAGACCAACAUCUCUCCUGUUUAAGAGGUGCUCACUUCUUUUUAGACUGAACAAUCACAAUUCUCUUUGCCUUUCAUCAUAGGAGAGCUGCUCCACCCUUCUAAUCAACUUGGUGGCCCUCAUAUAUUGAAGUCCACAUG